rnacentral:tRNA from 1 species
GCAGUAUAAGCGUUGAUGGCGGCGUACCUGACUUCCAAUCAGGAGGACGGAGUUCGAAUCUCCGGUGCUGCU